GACAGAGGGGGCAAGCGUUGCUCGGAAUCACUGGGCGUAAAGGGCGCGUAGGCGGGAUGGCAAGUCGGUCGUGAAAUCCUUCGGCUCAACCGAAGAACGUCGGCCGAUACUGCCGUUCUUGAGGGAUGCAGAGGAGAUUGGAAUUCCCGGUGUAGCGGUGAAAUGUGUAGAGAUCGGGAAGAACACCCGUGGCGAAGGCGGUUCUCUGGGACGGUACUGACGCUGAGACGCGAAAGCGUGGGGAGCGAACAGG
rnacentral:rRNA from 1 species